GACGAACGCUGGCGGCGUGCCUAACACAUGCAAGUCGAACGAGAAUCUUUGGAAUGAUUCUUUCGGGAUGAAUUCUAAAGAGGAAAGUGGCGGACGGGCGAGUAACGCGUGAGUAACCUGCCCAUAAGAGGGGGAUAAUCCAUGGAAACGUGGACUAAUACCGCAUAUUGUAGUUAAGUUGCAUGACUUGAUUAUGAAAGAUUUAUCGCUUAUGGAUGGACUCGCGUCAGAUUAGAUAGUUGGUGAGGUAACGGCUCACCAAGUCAACGAUCUGUAGCCGAACUGAGAGGUUGAUCGGCCGCAUUGGGACUGAGACACGGCCCAGACUCCUACGGGAGGCAGCAGUGGGGAAUAUUGCGCAAUGGGGGCAACCCUGACGCAGCAACGCCGCGUGCAGGAAGAAGGUCUUCGGAUUGUAAACUGUUGUCGCAAGGGAAGAAGACAGUGACGGUACC
rnacentral:rRNA from 1 species